AAAAAUCAUAGAUUUGGUAUCAUAUUCAUAUUAUCAUAAGAACAAAAAUCCAUAAAUUGAAAAUUUUAUAGCCAAAGAAGGAUCUUUUGGAUUAAAAAUCUCCAAACCCUACAAAAUAUCAUGCUUCUACUAAGAUUAAACUCUCAAAACUUUAAGGGACCAACUCAUACUGCCACACCUCGUAGAAAAUCCUAUAUGCUCCAGAACAAACCCCAAA
rnacentral:lncRNA from 1 species